UAGUCUGGUGCCAGCAGCCGCGGUAAUUCCAGCUCCAAUAGCGUAUAUUAAAGUUGUUGCAGUUAAAACGCUCGUAGUCGGAUUUCGGGGCAGGUUUGCCGGUCUGCCGAUGGGUAUGCACUGGUAGAACUGUCCUUCCUUCCGGAGACGGCGCCUACUCUUAACUGAGCGGGUGUCGGAGACGGAUCGUUUACUUUGAAAAAAUCAGAGUGUUUCAAGCAGGCAGCUCGCUUUUGCAUGGAUUAGCAUGGGAUAAUGAAAUAGGACUUUGGUGCUAUUUUGUUGGUUUCGAACACCGAAGUAAUGAUUAACAGGGACAGUCAGGGGCACUCGUAUUCCGCCGAGAGAGGUGAAAUUCUUAGACCAGCGGAAGACGAACCACUGCGAAAGCAUUUGCCAGGGAUGUUUUCACUGAUCAAGAACGAAAGUUAGGGGAUCGAAGACGAUCAGAUACCGUCGUAGUCUUAACCAUAAACCAUGCCGACUAGGGAUUGGAGGAUGUUCCUAUGUGACUCCUUCAGCACCUUUCGGGAAACUAAAGUCUUUGGGUUCCGGGGGGAGUAUGGUCGCAAGGCUGAAACUUAAAGGAAUUGACGGAAGGGCACCACCAGGAGUGGAGCCUGCGGCUUAAUUUGACUCAACACGGGGAAACUUACCAGGUCCAGACAUUGUGAGGAUUGACAGAUUGAGAGCUCUUUCUUGAUUCGAUGGGUGGUGGUGCAUGGCCGUUCU
rnacentral:rRNA from 1 species